CCUCCAAGUUUAAAUCCGUCCACGUCUUCGGGAUACCAACUGGAAAAUUCAAUUUCUCUCGAAACGUGUGCGAGGUAUUGAACUGGCAGAAACCUCUCUUAGGAUUUACUAGACGCAUAACACCACAUCCAAUUUACGUUACACGGCCUGCUGCACCGAUCUACGCCUAUGCGCCACCGGUUGCACCGAUCUACAUUCCACCAGCUGCUCCAGCCUACGUGGAACCUUCUCCGAUAUAUACCUAUGCGCCACCGGUUGCUCCGAUCUACAUGCCACCGGCUGCUCCGAUCUACAUGCCACCGGCUGCUCCAAAUCCAAUCUACACGCCACCCGCUGCUCCGAUCUACACGCCGCCCGCUGCUCCGAUCUACACGCCGCCCGCUGCUCCGAUCUACACGCCGCCCGCUGCUCCCAUCUAUACUCCUCAAAAUCCAAUCUAUACGCCACCUGUAGAUCCAGUAUACACAACUAUGCCAGGGAUUAGGAUUCCCUCUGCUCCGAUCUACAUGCCACCCGC
rnacentral:lncRNA from 1 species